UAGACCAGGCUGCCCAGAGCCACAUCCAGCCUGGCCUUGAAUGCCUCCAGUAUGCCUGCCUCUCUCUUGGCAGACUCGGAAUUCAUGCAGACAGGGUUGGGGGGAUAGAGCUUGGCUCCCAGCCCCACAGAUUCCAGCCCUUUACAUCCUAUCCCCAGGGAGGUGAAGGGGCAUAGUUCUGAGUCCUCACACUGGCAACACAAAUGCCACGAGAAGCAGUGCCGCGCAUCCCCAUUUGUCACUGGGGCCAGCAUUAACUGAAUGUUUAAAAGUCAUGAUGUCAUCGCUAUUAAUCAGGGCCCUGCUGGGCCACGCUCCAGCGCUGCAUAUUAAUCACAGCGGCCUCGGGACUCACUUAUCUGGAGAGGCUAAGUUUAGAUCCAUAAAACAUGAUUUAUUUUUAAAAGUAGCAUUAUUAAAGAUGAGCUACAGCUUUGUUCGCGCUCCUGCUGGAGCCUCCUUUAGGAAAGGGUUGGUAUUUUGCAGCUGGUAUGAAAAUUGUCAUUAUUUUCAGCCUGAGAAAGAUGUUGGGUGUGACACCAGCCUUUGAAAGCUUUGGAUAUUGCCCCCACAAAACAGAGUCAUCUCAAUGUCCCAGCAGAGGCAGAGCUAGGAACAAAGUUCCCAGCUGAACUGGUUUCUAAUGUAGACAGGACUGGGCUAACAGCUCAGCAGGGAGAGCAGGUGAUGUUUGGAGGCUGGUGAAAUACAGCCCAUCUGCCACCACAAUGGUAACUAAUGGCACUGUCCCACUCCACGGGCCUGGCUAUGGCCUUGACCAUCAGGUGAGCCUGUUGAAUUCUGGCCCGCAAAUGACAUCCAGUAAAUUAACUUAUUUCCUGUGCUCUGCAAAGUGCUUCUGUUGAAUCGGCAGCACGAUUGAUCCGCACAAAUGAAUUUGUAAAAGCCUGUCUGCACUCAAAUUUAUACGAGUUUAACUACAGUCGCUUUAACAACCGCUUUAGCUCUGGUCCAAUCUGCGCAGAGAAACUGUACCUGUUUUAAUGAAAUCAUUUUCUAAGACAGUCUGCUAAAUUUGAUUUGUCUCUGCGCACAUCUGCUCUUGCUUUGGAUUAAAAAGGUUCUGGUGUCAGUUUAGCACAACAUCUAAUUGGAGCCCCCCAGCCCAAAGUAAAAGGCUCCACCAACCCAUUCCAGCAGUUCAAUUAACCCUGUCCCUACGCCAACUUAGUUAGCAGCACUGCAAAUCCCAUGCAUGGGGCCAGACCAAACAUUUGGCAGAUAGAGCAGGCUAGAUGAAAGAAAGCCUUGCUGGCACACAACACUUGACAUCCAUCUCAUCAGCGAGAGAAGACUGUUCAUCAGUCAUGACAGCGGCUGUGAUCUCCUACCACAGGAACCUCUGGGUGAUAGUGAUGGAAUCAUGGGGUCUGCGUCAUUGCCAUGGCACAAGCUGUGAGGUAACAGUCCUUAUGACUGGGCUGUUCCUUCAGCCCACUCCUCUCCCUUCACAUCAUGCUUUUGACCUAGCUGCCAUUUUCUGCAGAAUCUUUGCAAGGUUCAAAUUCGGAAAUUGGAGCGUUACAUUUAAAUGGGCAUGCUUAGGCACAGCCUGCCACUGACAGUGGAUGGUCACAGCUGUCUGGGGAAGAAGACAAGGACAUGUAAACACACAGAGAAACCACAUCAAGAAAAGCAGAACUGCAGUAGUGUGGAUAUGACCUUCCUGCCUCCCCCAACUCAUCCUUCUUCUUGACCUCAUCCCAUCCAACACCCACAGGGCCUCACACACCUCGGCAACACAGAAAAAGGCAGAGGAAGAUGAGUGGUAGUCCUUCCUUCAUCACGAGGGAGAGGCUUUUGAGGCUCAGGAUUGUCCUGCUGGUUGUUUCCUAGCUCUGGUACCUUCCAUUCCUUGGCCUCUCCAAGCAAUCUGAAAAGAUUGCAUGUCCUCAGACUGCUGUAAGGGAGAACUAAGACUUCAUUAUCUUGUGGAACUGGUAAUGAAAAGCAGUGUCUCUGCAUAUCCCAGGGCUCCAGAGCACAGUACAUACCAAAGCCUUGCUAACUGUUUAUUAUGAAGAUCUAAAAAUCAGUUGUGUGUCUGCCUAAAUCCUGUUCUCGAUUGAUGAGAAGAGAGCCCUGAGGGAAGGGAAAACAUUUUCUAGGGAAGAAGCUUUUAACAUCAGAAGGGAGGAAACCAAACAGCACUCCUCAUGCCUCUGCUUCACAUGCUUAGUGCACAACUGGCCCUGUGGGAGGGUAGGGAAAGGAUCAAGCCAUCAAGUGAGCCUCAGGACGUGGGGAGCACUGGGCAGCUACUCGCCCACCGCAAGCACUCAGCAGUGCUAUGACUGGAGACAAGGAGUUCUUGCAGCCAUUCUUACCCACUGCACAAGACCCACAUUUCUCCCAGUUCAAACUGCAAAGGAAAGAAUCGUGGCAAUGAGCUCCACAUCAAUUUGAGCCACCCAGUUAUAGUACAGUCUCCCUUGGGAAAGGGGUGAGGUCUGUCACAGAUCUCAUCAGUGCCUGGUUGCAGUGUGGGCUGGGAGGUGAGAACAUCCAGCUUCUGAGCUUUGGCUUUUUCAUGGGCUGUGCCCUGCCAGGGGAAAGGAUGCUCCUAUCCCUCCAGCUCAUAACCAUCAGCAGAUAGCCUCUUAUCUGAAUAUUUUGAGCACUGCUUUUUUUUUAAAUCACCUGGCAUUCUGAGCUAUCAUUUCUAGAUGAGGGCAAAGUAGCUACAGAUCUCCUUCUGAUUUGGUAAUGACUUCAGUGCUUAACAGAGCUAGCAUACGUGAACUGAUAAUCUUGCCUGUGUGUAAUCAUGAAAAAUCUACCAUUUCCUGUGGCUGGCAAACCACCUUCUGUUGUACACAUACUGCUCUUCUCUUUUCUCUAACAACACAUCUUUUCUCAAAAUCACAAAGGGGAUUUUGAAUCACAUUGGGAGUCUCUGUGCUGUACCCAGAAGGUACAGAUAUUUUUUUCAGAUUGUAUGGAAAGGCCAAGAGAUGGAGGGCACAAGCAUAGGGCCAUCCCAAGC